GCUGGGUGUGGUGGUGUGCACCUGUAGCCCCAGCUACUCUGGAGGCAGGAGGAUUGCUUGAGCAGGAGUUCUAGGUUGUAGUGUACUAUGCCAAUCGGGUGUCCGCACUAAGUCCAGCAUCAAUAUGGUGACCUCCCAGGAGUGGAGGACCACCAGGUUACCUUAGAAGGAGUGAACUGGUCCAAGUGAGAAAUGUAGCAGGUCAAAACUCCCGUGCUGAUCAGUAGUGAGAUCACAUAAUGCCUGUGAAUAGCCACUGCCCUCCAGCUUGGGCAACAUAGUGAGACUCCU
rnacentral:SRP_RNA from 1 species